rnacentral:rRNA from 1 species
CCUACGGGCGGCAGCAGUGAGGAAUAUUGGUCAAUGGACUCAAGUCUGAACCAGCCAUGCCGCGUGCAGGAAGACGGCUCUAUGAGUUGUAAACUGCUUUUGUACGAGGGUAAACGCAGAUACGCGUAUCUUUCUGAAAGUAUCGUACGAAUAAGGAUCGGCUAAAUCCGUUCCAGCCGCCGAGGUAAUACGGAGGAUUCAAGCGUUAUCCGGAUUUAUUGGGGUUAAAGGGUUCGUAGGCGGUCGGAUAAGUUAGAGGUGAAAUCCCGAGGCUCAACUUCGGAAUUGCCGCUGAUACUGUUCGGCUAGAGAGUAGUUGCGGUAGGCGGAAUGUAUGGUGUAGCGGUGAAAUGCUUAGAGAUCAUACAGAACACCGAUUGCGAAGGCAGCUUACCAAGCUACUUCUGACGUUGAGGCACGAAAGCGUGGGGAGCAAACAGGAUUAGAUACCCCAGUAGUC